CUGCGCGUGCGCACGCGCACAAGUGAGGGCCGGGCGGAGGGAGCGGGGAAGCGGCGAGCGCGCCGGCAGCGCAGCUGCGGGCGUGGGGGCGGCAGGAGCCGUGAAGCCGGCCCGAGAGCGGGGCUGGGCGGCUGAGGCAAAGGCGAUGAUUUAAGAGAUGGUGCUGAUUCAGACGUGCACACAGUGACACAGGUGCUAAAUGCAGUGCUGGAGGGAGUACAGAUCUGUGGAACCUGUUUCAGAAGCACUUUGGCAAUGUCACAGAGCAGAACUUAGUACUUCUGAGAAAAGGAAUGCUGAACCCUUACGAAGAGAUAAAGGUUAUGUGGUACAUAUUGGUGGUCUCUGCCCUUCAGUAUCUGAGGCUGAUUAAAGGUCUCAUUUCCAGAAAUACCAAGUUUCUGAAAUUUCAAUUUAUGACUCUUCUACUAAUUACAGUAUUCUGGAUUAACAGAAGUAAAUAGCCACCCGACCUCCAGAUGAUUUUCCACGUGUGCCUGGCAAGACUGGGGAAAACCCUGGGGCUACACUCGGGUGUCUGAUGACUGAGGGUUUCACAGAAGAGGCCUCUCCUGACUCAGCUUGGAGGGACUCGUCUGUCAGGAACAGCGUGAGCCUAGGAAACCUUCACCAUGAACUUUGUGUUAGAUCAUGAGUCCCGGCAUUUGGCAACAACUGAAACAUAUCUCUAAAUCUUACAGAUUAUAGUACUAAGUUUAAAAUCUAGGCCUUAAAAAUACAGUAAACAUUAAAGCUUCUGGGAUUCCUAAAAUCUCCUUGCCUGGACCUUUCCUGUCCCCUAAGGGAAGAGAAUGAGUGAGGGAAGCUCAUUCUCGGCACUUCACUGUGUUCCAUGAUUGCAACUGAGCCCUGUGAAUCUCCUCUUUCUCCACCUCCACACCUCCUUUCACAGCCCCCUCAGUCCUCCCUUUCCUUGACAAACCCAAGUAAACCCCACAGUUGCCAUCAAAGCUUAUUCUGCGAAGAUCCACUUCCAGUUAGUCUGGGGUCAGUGAGGCGCCUAGAAUGAGAUGGUUUUCAGAAUUACACUACCGACAGAAUAUAUUUUGAACAUGUUUUAAAAGGUAUUCUUGAAUAUCCUACUUCUUCACACUAUUACUUAUAAUAGUUCCAGACUUUGCUCCAAGAAAAUAAAUAAAAAAUGAUGCCAGUAUUCAAAUUUAAAGAAAACUUAAGGAAAAUCAGUUGGUUCUGUACAAACUUAGAUGUAAAACUAAAAGAUAAUAAAAAUUACAAUUAAGAAACA